rnacentral:rRNA from 1 species
AUUGAACGCUGGCGGCAGGCCUAACACAUGCAAGUCGAGCGGAUGAAGGGAGCUUGCUCCUGGAUUCAGCGGCGGACGGGUGAGUAAUGCCUAGGAAUCUGCCUGGUAGUGGGGGAUAACGUCCGGAAACGGGCGCUAAUACCGCAUACGUCCUGAGGGAGAAAGUGGGGGAUCUUCGGACCUCACGCUAUCAGAUGAGCCUAGGUCGGAUUAGCUAGUUGGUGGGGUAAAGGCCUACCAAGGCGACGAUCCGUAACUGGUCUGAGAGGAUGAUCAGUCACACUGGAACUGAGACACGGUCCAGACUCCUACGGGAGGCAGCAGUGGGGAAUAUUGGACAAUGGGCGAAAGCCUGAUCCAGCCAUGCCGCGUGUGUGAAGAAGGUCUUCGGAUUGUAAAGCACUCUAAGUUGGGAGGAGGGGCAGUAAGUUAAUACCUUGCUGUUUUGACGUUACCAACAGAAUAAGCACCGGCUAACUUCGUG